AUGACGAAGCUGGCCAAGGUCCUUCACCGCAAGGGCUUCCAUAUCACCUUCGUCAACACGGAGUACAACCAACGCCGCCUCGUCCGUUCCCGCGGCCCUGACGCCAUAGCCGGCCUCCCAGACUUCUGCUUCGCCACCAUUCCGGACGGCAUGCCCUUGUCUGACGCUGAUGCCACGCAAGACCCGGCGUCGCUUUGCUAUUCCACCAUGACCACCUGCCUCCCCCACCUGAAGUACCUGCUCCACGACCUCAAAAACAAAUCAGGGACGCCACUGGUAAGGUGUGUCGUGACGGACGGCCUCAUGAGCCUUGGUGUUGAUGCUGCGGCGGAGAUCGGUGUUCCCUGCGCGCUGUUCUGGACUGCCAGCGCCUGCGGUUACAUGGGCUACCACAACUUUCGAUUCCUCGUAGAUGAGGGUCUUACUCCUCUCAAAGUUUGCGCAGAUAAAGAGUAG
rnacentral:rRNA from 1 species